rnacentral:lncRNA from 1 species
GCCCAGGCAAGGGGCUAUCGGUGGUAGGUCGCGGACCUCCCGAAUACGUGUAACGGCUAAUAAAUCUUAGUCGUUUCUGCUAGGUCCCAGUGAGAUAGCGUCUCACCAACAACCACAAGCAGGUCGCGUUCAGCUGGGAAGCCAUGGUACUGGUGAGACCGAGUUGAAGGCGUUUGAGCGAAGCGAUACGACUAGGCGGCAUUCCCAAAGCCGCUGGGUCAAUGUGCAGGUAUCGAGGGCACGUGAUCAUCUUCCACACAUAUCAUCAUCGCUAUUGUGCGGCCGUGCUCUUUACUUGUUAGCCGCUUGGCCGGUAGGUUCACAUCCUUUCCCAGGGCAAGGAGCAGCUGCCUUUUUACAUAGGUCCGCCUUGCUUUGCCUCCCACCGCCCCGUCUGCACUGCCCACAUGGCCAUAUGCUUGCUGCUUCUCACAAACCCUGGUCUGGAUGCUGCUGUACGGCAGCAUCAUGACGAAAAUGAAUGAAUGGCCUCAAGCGCUGCCUGCCUUGGGACAGCUGUGACGUGUGAGUGGGCAGGCGCGCGUGGGCACCUGCUCUGACAAUGUGUGUACGGUGGGAUCUGGCAGUGUUUCCAAAGGCCGGCGGCGGCGGUGGAUCCGCCUUGGGACCGGUGGCGGUGGAUGAUGCAACGGCCACCUGGAUGGAUACGGUGGCGAACCUUUUGGUCCGGACGUUUGUGGGUUGGAGGCCCACAGCGAUCACUGUAUGUCAUGCGGUAAGUUACAAGUUACAAGUGCCGCACGAGUGGGGGGGGGUCCGUCAAAUCCGGGAGGCCAUGGACUAUAUAUAAUGAAAGUUGAUUACAUCGUACAACCGACGGCGGUUUGGGUCCUGCCAACUAGACCCCUCCUCAUCCAGUCACCCGACAUCCGUAGAGACAGAUCAGCCAUUACCACCAUCUCAGCAUGCGAAACUCAGUCCAUCAACUAGACCUCAUCUCCACACCUCAGCAGCGUUAGUAAUCCUAGACCUCCCGAACAAUGUCAGGGGUCUGACCAGGAAUCGGACCCGGAACCUUCAUAUUCACAAAGGUGCCACCAGACUAGACCAAAAAUUUGAUACCAUUCGUCAAUUUGUGCAAGCUUUUUAACUUCAUAUAAUCAAUACUGGUUGUGGGUCGCCGCGACUGGUUUUCGAAUGGAGUUUUUCCAUUGGCAGGUGAAUACGUUGGUAGUUAGCCUUGACCGCCGCGAUCACGACGGUUGCCGUACAACAGACCUCCCAUCUCGUGGUGAGGGUGCGGUUCCACUUCACAGGCCGUGUUGCCGAGGGGAGGCGCGAGAACUCUCCUAGCCGCUGUGCUUCUUUCUUCGUGCACGUGUAAAAGCUCGCUGGCAGUGACGAACAAGGACUUUGCGUGACGAACAAGUCCGUAGCAUGCCUUGUGGGAGGUGGUGGAAGGUGUGGUGUCAAAGGCUGCGCCCACAUUAUGACACCUGAGAGGCAGCAGGGUCACACAUGUAGCCACGUGAAGUAGAUUCAGGGAGUUGACGUUGCUCCUGGGACUGCGGGUCAUGUGCGGUCAUGAGAAGCGAGGGUUCUUGCAAUUGGCCUCGAAGCAGACCUGAGGGGGUUUAGCACGUGCAUGGGUUGCCAUGGUUUCAUUGGGGGUCGUUGGAACCCCAAGUCCUCUCGCGUGGCGCGGUCAAGCAAGGGGCAUCGCGUACUCCGCAUCAAAAAGGACUGCCUCGUCCUUUGAUAACGGACCGUUGCCUACAACCUUGAAGCAGCAGGUCGCAAGCCCCAGUGGGCCCGGUGGCUGACGGCAUUGUUUCCUCGAAUCCUUAACGGACUCAACCCGGCAGCUGAAGGAGAGUGAGGCUGCUGCGUGGCAUAUCUUUGCAACCAAGAGCUUGCAAGGAAGCGGCAUCAGCAAUCGCCGCAGCAAUGGGAGAGCUCCCACGGUGGCGGGAGCGGCUCGGGAUCAAGCAGGCUGGUUGAUUAAGACCGACAUGUGGAGCGUGUCUAUUGGUGGAAAUGAGCUACCUGGUUGCUUAGGGGUGGUAGUAUGUGCUGUGUGUAUAGGUUUGCAGGAGGUCGACAUAGUGUGCCUAUAUUCCCUGUGCUUCGUAUUGGGGGCAAACUUAUUUGCAGACCUUGCGCUGUGCGGUGGUCCGACAAGCGAAGUUAGCUUGUGGUGACGCGCAAGCAUCACGCCAUAACUCCCGUGCCACUCUUCGUCGGCCCCAUCUUGGCCCCAUGCCCGUCCUGCUGGAUCUGAACGGCACCCUGUUGGGUAGCAUUGGUUUAUCCCCAUGUGUAAGUACGACGUACGAGAUGCAGUACGCCAAAUAAGAUGCCAGCUCGAGCCAGGUCCGACAGAUGCCUGGUGAGAGCAGGGAGGUCGGCAAACGUGGAA